rnacentral:pre_miRNA from 1 species
GUCAGCUUUUGUGUGGAUGGUGUUUAGUGCUAAGGACAGAUAUGUUUACCUGUGUUUACCUGUAUGCGGAGUAUUCAGCACCAGGGACAGGUCUGAUUGCCU